rnacentral:lncRNA from 1 species
UGACCCGGUUUGGUAACCUAAUGGAGUUGUAAUCAAGCUAAGGUUAUAAUUAAAUGGGUUUUGGUCCUGAUUAGAUUGAAAGUUAUAAUUAAUUAUUUUUGUAUGGAGAAAAGGUUUGAUUAACCCUUUUUAUUAAGUCACGAUCUUGUUUUUAGUCUUGUUUAUUUUAUCUGGUCGAGUUCGGUCUGAAGUAGUUUAGCAAGAAUUAAAUUUA